GACGAACGCUGGCGGCGUGCUUAAUACAUGCAAGUCGGACGGAAAGGCCCUGCUUUUGUGGGGUGCUCGAGUGGCGAACGGGUGAGUAUCACGUGAGUAACCUGCCCUUGAUUUUGUGAUAACUUCAGGAAACUGGGGCUAUUACCGGAUAGGAGCUCCUGCUGCACGGUGGGGGUUGGAAAGUUUCGGCGGUUGGGGAUGGACUCGCGGCUUAUCAGCUUGUUGGUGGGGUAGUGGCUUACCAAGGCUUUGACGGGUAGCCGGCCUGAGAAGGUGACCGGCCACAUUGGGACUGAGAUACGACCCAGACUCCUACGGGAGGCAGAAGUGGGAAAUAUUACACAAUGAGCGGAAGCCUGAUGCAGCAACGCCGCGUGCGGGAAGACGGCCUUCGGGUUGUAAACCGCUUUCGCCUGUGACGAAGCGUGAGUGACGGUAAUGGGUAAAGAAGCACCGGCUAACUACGUG
rnacentral:rRNA from 1 species